rnacentral:lncRNA from 1 species
UUGGACCAGAUGAUCUUGGAGGUCUUUUCCAACCUUGAUUAUUCUUUGAUUCUGUGAUCAGGGGUUGCUGCCUUUUUCCCCCAGCCCCUCAGAGGCCGGUUUCACUUUGGGCCGCCGCUGUCACCGCCGGCUGGAAGAGGACAGGCCUUCUUCCCAGGCAGGAGGUUUCAGCUUGCUCUCACGGAGCAGAACGCAAGUUUUAACUUUGUACCACUAGAUGGCAAGCACGGACCAUCAGAUAAAUGACCUGAUGCCUUCCAGGCGUUGCUUCACAUCAUAAUUAAUCUCCGGUCCUAUCCUACGCUACAUACAGCCGUAACACACCAAGGAAUUUUUGCCACCUGGUCUAUCUGUUGCAAAACCCAGAUCAGUGCAAUAACAAUCCAGAACUAAAACUUCAGUAUAUCAGGAAAGGAUGGUUGUGCCUCCACUGGACAUCAGAUAUGUGCUUCAGUGUGACACUGAAACUGGAUCUGUGGCAUGCAGUUAUCAAGUGCAGGUGUGUCGAAGAAUGAGAAGCCAAUAGGAUGGCAAUUCUAGACAUACUGUAGGAGAAAGUGCCUCUGCUUAUCAUCCAGACAGCCAUUCACAAUUCAGAAUAAAUAGCUUUUGCUGUCUCA